rnacentral:rRNA from 1 species
GAUGAACGCUGGCGGCGUGCCUAAUACAUGCAAGUCGAGCGAACGGACGAGAAGCUUGCUUCUCUGAUGUUAGCGGCGGACGGGUGAGUAACACGUGGAUAACCUACCUAUAAGACUGGGAUAACUUCGGGAAACCGGCGCUAAUACCGGAUAAUAUUUUGAACCGCAUGGUUCAAAAGUGAAAGACGGUCUUGCUGGCACUUCUAGAUGGAUCCGCGCUGCAUUAGCUAGUUGGUAAGGUAACGGCUUACCAAGGCAACGAUGCAUAGCCGACCUGAGAGGGUGAUCGGCCACACUGGAACUGAGACACGGUCCAGACUCCUACGGGAGGCAGCAGUAGGGAAUCUUCCGCAAUGGGCGAAAGCCUGACGGAGCAACGCCGCGUGAGUGAUGAAGGUCUUCGGAUCGUAAAACUCUGUUAUUAGGGAAGAACAUAUGUGUAAGUAACUGUGCACAUCUUGACGGUACCUAAUCAGAAAGCCACGGCUAACUACGUG